ACAAACAACAUGGGCUUCCCACUGAAAGCUUUAGGGCUACAGCACUGCCAAUCCCAAGCUCUGUGGCUCUGAGAGUGCAGUCAAUCUUCACUUCUUAAAGAUGGCUAUGAGGACAGACUCCCCCGUCCUAGGUUAAGCCUGGGGUCUGCUCUGGGAGCUCUGGAUAGACCAGUGACAGGAGGAUUACUACUGGAUUCCUGACCUCAAGGAAUUGUUCCAUCUCACAAAGGCACGGGCUACCUCUGAGAGAGCACCUAAAUACACGACCAGCCCAGAAUGAUAAGCUGCAGCUGAGACAGGUGCAUUUGGGUGCUGCAGAAACAUGCCCACCCCCGGGAGCUCUUCAAACUCUUCAGCCAUCUCAAAGAUGGCUGAGCAAUGUUCCUGAUACUUGGUCGAGACUCGGAAUGGCAGGAAAGACUGGAAAACUGUCUCAAGUACAGGCGGUGAGUUGUCCGACCUCCAAGGAGGCUCCAAAGCAGCCACCCUUCUUCCCACCAUCAUUGUGACCAUGCUUCCCGGCGCUCUGCACUUCCCAACUCUGUCUCCUGCCAUGUGUCUGUCCGUCCACCACGUCUGCCCUCCACGCCACCUCCUAACAGCAUAGCUUCUAGUCUUUCCUCUGUUCUUUGGGCAGCCACUGAGAUUUACAGCUCGGUUGCCCUAGGAUGUCUUAGAAAUAUCUUCACAUAUCUUUUGAGUCCAUUCUCCAAUUCCUUUAUUAAUGAGACUAACCCCAAGAGAUGGCUCCGAUUUCCUCAGUAUCAUCUGGUGUACCAGAUGGGACUCCCCAAAUUCCGGUUACAGUAUCAGAAACAUCUUGGCAGGUGUAUUUUCCUGUAUCUGCCCUGAUAUUUAUAACCUUUAAGCAAUUCUCUAUAGAACAACAAAAUGGUUGGUGGAGACUGAAUAUUUGUAUAACAUUUUAGUAAGGAAGCCAUAGGCUAGUGUCACUAAAGUUUGCGGGUGUAGUGUUUAAAAGUUCCUUUUAAGCAAAACGAUGAUCACGAAGACAUUUAUUUAGAGACAUUUUUUUUUUUCCAAAUGAGUUCUAAGAAAUAGGAAAGGCCGAAAGAAACCAGUUGUUUGAGAUGAUUUCUGGGCCACUGACAAAGGCUUUUAUUCUUUGAAGAAUAGACAGAGAAUGGUCACUUGUGUAAUCCAGAUAUAGCACCUUAUAUACAUGAAACAGAGUUAAAUAUAGAGGAUGAUGGGUUAAAAAUUAGACCGCUUCUAAAGAGCAACAAUGUACAGCACAGCUUCUUCAAGGUUAACAUACCCUUUGACAAGAAUUUAAAAUUCAUUUGAGGGAAGAAAAAACGUUCACACCAUCAACUUACACACUUUUAUCACUCCCAUCAUGGCUGUCACCUCCACAACUCUACCAAGAUCAUCGCCGCUUCAAGAACAACCAUCAUUGCCAUUACUACCACCACCAUCUCCACCAAGACCACACUGCCACUUCAAGAACAACCAUCAUUACCAUUACUACCACCACCACCAUCUCCACCAAGACCACCUCCUACCACCACUGUCAGCUACACCUUUCCUAAAACCACUCCCAUUACCAUUACUACCACCUGUGCCAUCACUACCACCACCACCACUUCCACCACCGUCACUGCCACUUCCACCAUUCUGAGUGCUCCUUGCACUGCAGAUGCCAAUGGAGACAGCAUUCCAUCAUGAGUUCACACAGGAGGAAGGAGAAAGGAGACCCCACUAUUCAACAUGGUGUCUGUUGGGGGAAGAACAGGGAAGAUGCUACAUCUUAGCAGUUGUAAGUAUACAUCCUGGGGUAGGUUUUGAGCCUCAAAGGUGAGAAGCCCCAGGAGACCUCAUGUAGAUAAGGGAAACCCAAAGCCUGGCCCUGCAUCAUCAGCAUCACCUACAAACAGAUGCUCAACGUACAGCCUCAACCUUGACUCAUCUGCCCCACCUCAGGGCCUGGGUAAUGCUACUGGAUCUCACUUGGUCCACAUACUGCACAGCUCCCACACAACAAGACAGCCAUUGGUCACCCUGAGCAGGGUAUCCUGUGAGCUACAUGGGAGAUACAGCUGGGAAGACUUGCUGAAGACAUGCUGUGGGGCUGUGAGGCUUGAUCCCAGUUUCUCCAUUGUUAAUGCUGUGAACUCUGUCCCCCAGGGCCUCCGACUCCAUUUGCAAUAGGGCCCAGGCUGGUAGAAAUUCAACAGGGUUCUGAAUGAGAGCAGUAAACUGCUCUAGCACAUCGGAAGCCCCUCACAUGCACAGUGAGCACUCAGCGCAUCGCUGCCAGCACCUGACUACAGAGAACAUUCAGGAGCACUGGGCACUUGGCCAGUGCUGAUGUGCUGCACACAGAGAUGGGAGUAAGUAUGGCGGGUAAGGGUCUGGUGUGAUGCGAGAGGACACCAGGAUGAGAACUGCUCAGUGUUUCCAUUUUCCCUCGUCUACAAACAAUUCUGAUACUUGGGACUUCAAAGGAAAUGAAGAAACCUAGGAAAAUAUUUCUUCCAUGUCAAUUUUAAAUCCCACCAACCUUCUCUCUCUAUAAUUACAGCUGUCAGUGUUGGCAUCAAGGGAAAAUGGUGUCCUUGGCUUUAAAAUGUGGCCAUUAGGGACUCAGUUAAAAAUAAAUUCUCUUCCUG
ensembl:processed_transcript 4933400F21Rik RIKEN cDNA 4933400F21 gene